GAAAUGCGAUAAGUAAUGUGAAUUGCAGAAUUUAGUGAAUCAUCGAAUCUUUGAACGCAUAUUGCGCCCACCAGUUACUCUGGCGGGCAUGCCUGUUCGAGCGUCGUUUCAACAUUCAGGCCUGUCUUAGUCGCCUGGCGUUGGGGCGCUGCGGCCCGUAUUGUCCGCAGGCCCCAAAAUUUAGCGGCGGACCGGCCGUGGCCCUGAGCGUAGUAGUUUACAAUGCCUCGCUCCGGCGGCCGUGGCGCGGCCCUACCCCCCCAACUUACUCUAAAAGUUGACCUCGGAUCAGGUAGGACUACCCGCUGAACUUAA
rnacentral:misc_RNA from 1 species